rnacentral:rRNA from 1 species
GACGAACGCUGGCGGCGUGCUUAACACAUGCAAGUCGAACGGAAAGGCCCUGCUUUUGUGGGGUGCUCGAGUGGCGAACGGGUGAGUAACACGUGAGUAACCUGCCCUUGACUUUGGGAUAACUUCUGGAAACUGGGGCUAAUACCGGAUAGGAGCUCCUGCUGCAUGGUGGGGGUUGGAAAGUUUCGGCGGUUGGGGAUGGACUCGCGGCUUAUCAGCUUGUUGGUGGGGUAGUGGCUUACCAAGGCUUUGACGGGUAGCCGGCCUGAGAGGGUGACCGGCCACAUUGGGACUGAGAUACGGCCCAGCCUCCUACGGGAGGCAGCAGUGGGGAAUAUUGCACAAUGGGCGGAAGCCUGAUGCAGCAACGCCGCGUGCGGGAUGACGGCCUUCGGGUUGUAAACCGCUUUCGCCUGUGACGAAGCGUGAGUGACGGUAAUGGGUAAAGAAGCACCGGCUAACUACGUG